GUCGUUGUAGUAUAGUGGUGAGUAUUCCCGCCUGUCACGCGGGCGGACGCGGGUUCGAUCCCCGGCAACGGCG